GACAGAGGGUGCAAACGUUGUUCGGAUUUACUGGGCGUAAAGCGCGUGUAGGCGGCUUUGCAAGUCGGAUGUGAAAGCCCACGGCUCAACCGUGGAAGUGCAUCCGAAACUGCAUAGCUGGAGUCCCGGAGAGGAAGGUGGAAUGCUUGGUGUAGAGGUGAAAUUCGUAGAUAUCAAGCAGAACACCUGCGGCGAAGGCGGCCUCUCGGACGGUGACUGACGCUGAGACGCGAAAGCGUGGG
rnacentral:rRNA from 1 species